UAUUCUGACUGUGCUAAGGUAGCAUAAUCAUUUGUUAUUUAAUUUGUAACUAGAAUGAACGGCCUGACAAAAGAAUAACUUUUUUAUUUUUUUUUUAUUAAAUUAAUUUAAGAAUAAAAAAGUUCUUAUAAAUUAGAAAGACGAUAAGACCCUAAAACCUUAUAUAUAAAUAUUUACUGGGGCGGUAAUUUAUACUCCAUAGAUUAAAAUAACAUGAUGAGUGAUAUUAUCUAUUUGAUUAAUACAAAAAGGUACUUUAGGGAUAACAGCAUAAUUUUUAUUUAGAGUCCUUAUCGACAUAAAAG
rnacentral:rRNA from 1 species